ACCAGUGUAGUGCUGUGGUUUGAGUGCUGAACUAGGACUCCGGUGGACCAGAGUUCAAAUCUCUGCUCGGUCA